AGCGGACGCUGGCGGCAGGCCUAACACAUGCAAGUCGAGCGGACGUCGCAAGACGUCAGCGGCAGACGGGAGAGAAACACGUGGGCACGUACCCUUCGGUUCGGAAUAACCCAGGGAAAGUUGGGCUAAUCCCGGAUACGUCCGUAAGGAGAAAGAUUUAUCGCCGAAGGAUCGGCCCGCGUCGGAUUAGCUAGUUGGUGGGGUAAUGGCCCACCAAGGCGACGAUCGGUAGCUGGUCUGAGAGGAUGAUCAGCCGCACUGGGACUGAGACACGGCCCAGACUCCUACGGGAGGCAGCAGUGGGGAAUAUUGGACAAUGGGCGCAAGCCUGAUCCAGCCAUGCCGCGUGGGUGAUGAAGGCCCUAGGGUUGUAAAGCCCUUUCGGCGGGGAAGAUAAUGACGGUACCCGCAGAAGAAGCCCCGGCUAACUUCGUGCCAGCAGCCGCCGUAA
rnacentral:rRNA from 1 species